rnacentral:pre_miRNA from 1 species
AAGGUACUCCCUCCGUUCGGAAUUACUUGUCUCGGAAAUGGAUGUAUCUAGAACUAAAAUACGUCUAGAUACAUCCAUUUCUGCGACAAGUAAUUCCGAACGAAGGGAGUAUAAG